rnacentral:rRNA from 1 species
AACGAACGCUGGCGGCAGGCCUAACACAUGCAAGUCGAGCGAGGACUUCGGUCCUAGCGGCGGACGGGGGAGUAACGCGUGGGAACGUGCCCUUUGCUUCGGAAUAGCUCUGGGAAACUGGGAGUAAUACCGGAUGAGCCCUUUGGGGGAAAGAUUUAUCGGGGAAGGAUCGGCCCGCGUUGGAUUAGGUAGUUGGUGGGGUAAUGGCCUACCAAGCCGACGAUCCAUAGCUGGUUUGAGAGGAUGAUCAGCCACACUGGGACUGAGACACGGCCCAGACUCCUACGGGAGGCAGGAGUGGGGAAUCUUAGACAAUGGGGGAAACCCUGAUCUAGCCAUGCCGCGUGAGCGAUGAAGGCCUUAGGGUUGUAAAGCUCUUUCAGCUGGGAAGAUAAUGACGGUACCAGCAGAAGAAGCCCCGGCUAACUCCGUG